rnacentral:lncRNA from 1 species
AGUAACCUUUCUAAGAAGGAGGCGGCAGCCAAUAGAACCUUUCUUUCUUUUUUCUUUUUUUUUUUUUCCUCUCCCCACUUCUUACUAGAGAAAUUCGUGUUACCUCAGCAAUUAAGGAGAAGAGCCAGCAUCUAGGGUUCCAGGCUCUGAGGGGGAGUAGCAACUUGUACCAGUGUCAAUCAGACUGGUACAAAUCUCUUGGAGAAGACAGACAUCAUUCAAGAGAAGGAGUAAAGCAGCAAUACCUGCCAGGACCUUCAGCUGAGCUUGCAGGAGAUGCAGAGAGGCUUCACUGAGUCUUCACAAAGGGAAGAAAUUUCAAAUUAAUAAUUAGGAUUUGAGGUUCCAAUUAAAUCCGUGUUUGGGCCAUUGCUUUGCCUGCCAGUGCUUAAUCUUUUUCGAAGGCCUCAUCACUUAUCUAAAACAAAAGAACAAGGUAAGGAGAAAAAGUAAUGAAAUGCAGUAUAGCACAUCUGUCAAAGGAAUGGAAAGUAGCUUUAAAAAAAUUCAGGAUCAAUGACGUUAAAAAAUUAUUUGUUGAGCACUAAAUGUGAUCAUGUUAGGCAUGUUAAUUGUAAAGCAUCUGUAAGUACCAGCAUGUUCUUGCAUGCAUUGAGG